GGCUCCAUAGUGUAGUGGUUAGCACAUCUGCUUUGCAAGCAGAAGUUCCUGGGUUUGUACCCCAGGUAGAGCCA
rnacentral:tRNA from 1 species